UCCACAGUGACAAGGUGCCCAGCUCGCGGGAUUAGUCAUCCACCUUUCUGAUAAGAAAAGUGAAAACACGAAGUUGAAAACUGCAGACCCCCAGCAACUUCCUGAAUCCAGCUCUCCGCGUCCUGCCCUAAGGAACGGGCGCCUCCCAAAAAGGAAUCGUUAGUGGAAGUCCCACGUUUCGCUGGCGUUGGAAGGGGAAGUGCUUCGGUUUCAGGAUCUCACCUCACUGCCGGAACCUCCUUAAUUAUCAGAUGCAGCCCCGAAUCCUCCAACACGCUUCAGCCAACAGACUUGUCCUUCAGUAAUCACAGUAGCCUGUCGUCCAGCUGAAAGGACCCUUGUGAUGACAUUGGACCCACCUGUGUAACCCAAGAUAAUUUCUCCAUCUCUAAGUCAGCUGAUCGGCAAGGUUAAUUCCAUCUUCAACAGUGAUUCCCCUUUGCCAGGGCUUCUCUCCGGACCAUGCUUCUCCUCCCAAGA
rnacentral:lncRNA from 1 species